rnacentral:rRNA from 1 species
GGUUCUGCGUGGAAGGGCCAUCGCUCAACGGAUAAAAGCUACCCUGGGGAUAACAGGCUUAUCUCCCCCAAGAGUCCACAUCGACGGGGAGGUUUGGCACCUCGAUGUCGGCUCAUCACAUCCUGGGGCUGUAGUAGGUCCCAAGGGUUGGGCUGUUCGCCCAUUAAAGUGGUACGCGAGCUGGGUUCAGAACGUCGUGAGACAGUUCGGUCCCUAUCCGUCGCAGGCGUAGGAAAUUUGAGAAGACCUGUCCUUAGUACGAGAGGACCGGGAUGGACGUACCUCUGGUGUACCAGUUGUCCUGCCAAGGGCAUGGCUGGGUAGCUAUGUACGGAAUGGAUAAGCGCUGAAAGCAUCUAAGCGCGAAGCCAACUUCAAGAUAAGAUUUCCCACCGCAAGGGUAAGACCCCAGAAAGACUAUCUGGUUGAUAGGUCGAAGGUGUAAGUGCAGUAAUGUAUUUAGCUUAUCGAUACUAAUAGGUCGAGGACUUGACCAAU